rnacentral:lncRNA from 1 species
UUUUUUUUUUUUGGUUUUGUGAGUGGUUGAUAUUGAGAGGGUUUUUGUGCUUGGUGUGCUUGUGUAUGGAAAGUGAACUUAGAGAGAGUUUUUGUGAGAAUGUGAUGGUGGAAAAAUUGAGAGAGAGAGAGAUGGCCAAGAGAGGAGUUGGGAGUUGGAGUCCUUCUCUGUUUUUUUCUUGUGUCUUCCCUUCUUGAGGGAAAAAAAAGAAAGAGCCGGGAGAGAGCCAAAAGAAUUAGGUGGUGUCUUGGUUUUGUCAAAUGAUGGUCUUUCACCAAAGAUGAAAAGAAAGAUGAAUAACAACAUGGAGUGCAAAAAUGGGUUAAUAGUGCAUUUGGUGAAACAAAAUGAUUAGGAUGAUUUUUGAUUUCUUGAUUUUCUUUUUUUCAAUUUUUUUUCUUAAAACCAACCUCUCUUUUGAGAGAAAGAAAAAAAUGCAUAUUAAAAUACAAGAAAAUAAAUAACUCAUUAAAUAGAUAAAAUUUAAGAAAAUAUUAAAAUUGACAAAAAUUUAGUGUCUACAAAGUAAGAGGAUCCUAACAAGUUUUUUGCGCCAUUGCCAAGGAUUUAGGUACAACACUAGAGUUAAAGGAAGCUUUAUUAAUCUAGAUUUUGUUACUUUAUCUUUAUUUUAUUUCUAUCUUUUAGUUGUUAAUUUUAUUCUUAGGUACUAAGUUCUUCACCAAAGAAACUUUUGCCUUCAAGAAUUAAACAUAGUGAGAAGAGGAAGAAGACGUGCCCAACAAAAGCAACUUGAGAUGAACAGUGUAGGAGAAACUACCAUUGAGUAACAAGAAACAAACCAAACGGCGAACCAAAGGCAAAGAGCUUUGAGAGACUAUGCUUUGCCGGACAAAUUAGGAGCACAAACAAGCAUAACGAGGCUGGCCAUAAAUGCAAACAACUUUGAAAUCAAACCCGUUUUCAUUCAAAUAGUUCAAUAGAGCCAAUUUGAAAAAAAUGCAAUGGAAGAUCCAAAUACUUAUCUAGCCAAUUUCACAGACCUUUGUGGCAUAAUCAAAGUAAAUGGAGUAAGUGAUGAUGCAAUUAAUCUCAAGUUAUUUUCAUUUUCACUUUGUGACUAGGCAAAUGUAUGCCAAAUUCAUAUCUAUCCAAUACUUUUACUACAUGGAAUGAAUUGUCUAAAGUAUUCUUAAAUAAAUAUUUUCAUCCAAUAAAAUGGCUAAAUUUUAUAUGGUUAUUACAGGUUUCAAUCAAAAUGAAGGAGAGUCGUUGUAUGAAGUUCAGGAAAGAUUCAAGGACAUUUAAAGAAGAUGCCCACACCAUGGCCUUUUGGAAUGGCUAAUUAUUCAAACGUUUAACAAUGAUCUUACUUUUCCAACCAAAAUAACCAUAGAUUCCACCACCAGAGGUGUACUUAUGGGGAAGUCACUCGAGGAUGCAUAGAAGUUGAUAGAAGAAAUGGAGUCCAAUAAUUAGCAAUGCACUAAUGAAAGAGGUAGUCAUAAAAGGCUGGCAGGUAUGUACAAAAUUGAUACCUUUAAUAUGUUAAGUGUUCAAUGACAUAAUGUGGUUAACUUGCUUGGUAGACAAAGUGGAAUGGAUGCAAGUUCUAAUGUAAGUGUUACAUUAUAUUCUAUUUGUCAACAACUAUAACCAUCCACCUCAAAAUAAUCCUUGUUCCAACAGUUAUAAUCAAAGUUGGAGGAUUCAUCCCAAUCUUAGGUAGAGGGACCAAGGAAACCAACAAAGACCAACUAGUCCACUAAGAUUCCAACCUAAACAAGCAUUAGUGGAGACCAAACCUGCUUGGGAAUUGGCCAUUGAAAAAUUAGAUAAAACCACCACAGAGAUAUUUGAGUGAAUAGAUGAAAGGCUUGAUUAAUUCUUGAACAUGCAUAGGAAUCUAGAGAUGCAAGUAAGUCAAAUAGCAAGUGCCAUUAACUCUAGACAAUAGGGAGUAUUACCUAGUAAGACCAAGGUUAAACCUAGAGAGCACGUUAAUGCCAUCACUCUUAGAAGUGGUAAAACUGUAGAGGGGCCUAUCCUUGGUGAGUCUAGUGGGGGAAAAGAUGAGGGAUCAGUUCAUGAAGGGGUAAAAGAAAAUCAAAAUGAUCAUGUUUUAAUUAAUAUGGAUAUGCCUUCCUCUCAUAGUUCUUCUAAGAAUGCUACUAACUUUUUAUUCCUUUUCUCGAUAGUUUGAAGCAAAGCAAAAGGGAGGAGUUUGAAAAAGUUGCUAAAAGUUUUAGACAAAUUCAAAUUAACAUAUUUUUCAAUGAUGCUAUCUUUCAAAUUUCCUUUUAUACUCAUUUCUUGAAGGAUGUUGUGUCAAAAAAGAGAAAAAUUGAAGAUCAUGAAAUGAUAGCACUCACAAAGGAAUGUUCGGCACAUGUGCAGAAUAAACUUCCACCAAAGCUCGAGGAUUCAGAAAGUUUUAUUAUACCUUGCACCAUUGGACAUCUUAAUUUCUCUAACGUUUUGUGUGAUUUAGGUGCAAGCAUAUUCAUAAAUGGCACAUUUCAUUGCCCAAAGGCUUGAUUUGAAGGAGAUAAAAGAUACAAAUGUUACUCUUCAAUUGGCAAAUAAGCCCACAAAGCAUCCGGUUGGCAUGAUAGAGAAUGUCCUUAUAAAGGUGAAAUCAUUCAUUAUACCAGUUGGCUUUAUUGUGUUAGAUAUGAAGGAAGAUAUGCAUAUGCCUGUCAUUUCAGGAAGACCUUUCUUAGUCAUGGUUAGUACAUUAAUAAUUGAUGUCCAAUAAGACAAAUUGGUAUUUAGGGUCAAUGGUGAAGAACUAGUGUUUAAUCUUAAUGAUAAUAAAAAUCUUGACUUGUGGCACGGUAAGGCUUUUAAACCUAAAGAAGUUAAUGCAGUACAAGAGUUGUAUAAAGAUAACUUUCCUAUUGAUGCUCUUACUAUAACAUGUCUAAUGUGAGAAAUAAAGAAAAAGAGGUCUUUAUUGAUCAUUUUCAAGAAAUUCCUAAAAUCCAAGAAGAUAAAGGCAAGAAAUCAAGUAGAUUUUGGAAUUAUUUUAAAUGUCUUUCAAGAAAUUCUCAUGUACAUUGUGAUAAUGCAAAUGAUUCCUUGUUUGAUGAUGAGCAUGAGUUGGAGAUCGGGCAAACUCAAACCACGGUGGAUGGUAAGAGAAAUUUUAGCCCUUGGGAAGGAACUAGUUCCUUUUCUCCUCCAAAGUGAAUUUCAAGAAGAAACACUUUUGACUCGGGUCAACGACUAUAAAUAAAAGUACUUGUUUGGAGGCCACCCAAUGUUUGUUGAAGUUUAUAUUAAUUUGGUGUGAUUUUAUGUUUAACAUGUGUGUUUUAGUGUGUUUGUUAUGUUUUUAUACUAGGAUUCAAGAAUUGCUGUCAAAUGUGUAAAAUGAGGUGUCAAGGGAGCUCAAAUGAUCAACUUUUACAACUCUCAAGUUUUGAUUCAUGUGUUUUUUAUGCUAGAUUUUGUGUUAAAAUAGUGUAUUUGAUCAAGUUACAUGUGUUUGGCAUGGUGCAUUGUUCAUUACAACAAUGGGUUUUGAUUUGAGGUAUGAGGCACAACCAAUAGAAUAGUAACUUGUUGGAGCAGAAUUGUAAAAAACAGCAAAUAAGCAGAAACGCAACUCAAAACGUGGACUAGCCUGCAUUUCCACUCUGUGUUUCUUCACAAAUUCAUUCUUCCAAGGAGAAAAACAUGGAAACUUUGCUUAACUCUUCUUUUUUUCUUCUUUUUAUGGCCACAACACAUGCACUUCACUUACUUCAAAUUUCUUGAUCAUCCAACGCUUGUACUGACCAUUAACAUCAUUUGAAGUAGUUUUUACAUUCAAAUGUAUCAUUAAACACAUCAUUGGUGUGUUUAAUCUUCAUGAAUCUUUGUUGAGUUCAAUUGCAUAAAGUUCGUGUUAAGACUCAUUUGAGUGUGAAAAUAGUUCAAUCACAUUUCAUUUCACUCACAUAACUACUUUGAAGUGAAUUUCUUUAACUUUGCAUAGUAGUUUACAUUUUCACCUUUUCGGCUCUAUUCUCAUCCAUGCAUAAGCUUGCAUGAUGAAUAUAUAAAGGUGCUUUAGGAUGCAUAAACAUAUUAAAUGACUCCAUAUGAAUUGUUUUUGAGGUUCAAAGCAUAUAUUUGCAUAUUAAUUGCAUGGUGAAUCAUUAGGUCAAUAUAAUUCAUUAUUUGAUUAUAUAAAUAUGAUACACUUCUUGGACCUUAGUAGUAAAAUUUGUUGCUUUUAUUUUCAACUGUUUGCAAAUUAAUGGUUAUUAAAUGGAACUUUGGCAUUCUUUGACUUUCAUUUAUGUAGGUAAUAGUUGAAACUCAAGCAUGAAAAGGUCAUAAAAGGUUUCAAAACAAGAGGCUAAGUCACAAUAGAGGGAGUAUUUCUUUUACUCUUAUUUUGUCUUUUCACACAUUGAGAACAAUGUACACAUUAAGUGUAGGGAGAAGGGAGGUUUUUUUUUUAAAAAAGAUCACAAAAGAAAAUGCUUCAAUGGAUGAAAAUCUAGAACACUUUUUGCAUCAUAGUUAUCCGAUCAGUAACUGACAUCAUAAAAGUAAAUCAGAAUCAUCUUUAAAUAACAUAAAAGUAUACCAAAAAACUUCCAUCUGGCUGAUCCUAAUUCUUUCUUCAAAGAGAAUAAGCUUGAGAAACACCUAAUCAAACAAGCUGAAUCCCAUAUCAUCAUCACUCUCUUCCUUGGGCUCCUCCUUCUUCUCUUCUGCGGUGGGAGCAGCGGCGGCAGGGGCAGCACCAAUACCGCCACAGCCAAUGUUGACAAUAAGAUCUUCGAUGUUCCUCUUCUCGCAGAGCUUGGCAAAGAGACUAGGCCAGUAGGAUUCCACGGUUAAAUUCGCAGCCUUC